rnacentral:rRNA from 1 species
CAGCAGCCACGGGAAUACGUAGGGUGCAAGCGUUAAUCGGAAUUACUGGGCGUAAAGCGUGCGCAGGCGGUUUCGUAAGACAGAUGUGAAAUCCCCGGGCUUAACCUGGGAACUGCAUUUGUGACUGCGAGGCUAGAGUGUGUUAGAGGGGGGUGGAAUUCCACGUGUAGCAGUGAAAUGCGUAGAUAUGUGGAGGAACACCGAUGGCGAAGGCAGCCCCCUGGGCUAAGAUUGACGCUCAUGCACGAAAGCGUGGGGAGCAAACAGGAUUAGAUACCCCGGUAGUCCCUGUCUCUUAUAC